CUGAACUUAUGAUGAUACAAAAGUUAUCCCUGUCUGAAAUGGGAGCUUUUCCGGUUUGUGGAGUUGUGGAAUCUGAAGCUCAG